AUUGAACGCUGGCGGCAGGCCUAACACACGCAAGUCGAACGAGUGGCGGACGGGUGAGUAAGGUCUGGGAAACUGCCUGAGGGAGGGGGAUAACUACUGGAAACGGUAGCUAAUACCGCAUACCAUCAGAUGUGCCCAGAUGGGAUUAGCUGGUUGGUGGGGUAACGGCUCACAAAGGCGACGAUCCCUAGCUGGUCUGAGAGGAUGACCAGCCAGACUGGAGAUGAGACACGGUCCAGACUCCGACGGGAGGCAGCAGUGGGGAAUAUUGCACAAUGGGCGCAAGCCUGAUGCAGCCAUGCCGAGUGUAUGAAGAAGGCCUUCGGGUUGUAAAGUACUUUCAGCUGGGAGGCGUUACCCGCAGAAUAAGCACCGGCUAACUCCAUUCCAGCAGCCGCGGUAAUAC
rnacentral:rRNA from 1 species